rnacentral:rRNA from 1 species
GAUUAACGCUGGCGGCAUGCCUAAUACAUGCAAGUCGAACGGAAGCAGCAAUGCUUUAGUGGCGAACGGGUGAGUAACACGUAGGGAACCUACCUAUACGACGAGGAUAACUACUGGAAACGGUAGCUAAAACUGGAUAGGAUCAAUUGAGGCAUCUUGAUUGAUUUAAAGAUCCUUCGGGAUUACGUAGAGAUGGCCCUGCGGCGCAUUAGCUAGUUGGUGAGGUAACGGCCCACCAAGGCGACGAUGCGUAGCUGAGCUGAGAGGCUAAACAGCCACACUGGGACUGAGACACGGCCCAGACUCCUACGGGAGGCAGCAGUAGGGAAUUUUCGGCAAUGGGGGAAACCCUGACCGAGCAAUGCCGCGUGAACGAUGAAGGUCUUCGGAUUGUAAAGUUCUGUGAUUGGGAAGAAUGGUAUUCUUAGGGAAUGAGGAGUACAUGACGGUACCCGAUUAGAAAGCCCCGGCUAACUAUGUGCCAGCAGCCGCGGU